rnacentral:rRNA from 1 species
GAUGAACGCUGGCGGCGUGCCUAAUACAUGCAAGUCGAGCGAACAGACGAGGAGCUUGCUCCUCUGACGUUAGCGGCGGACGGGUGAGUAACACGUGGAUAACCUACCUAUAAGACUGGGAUAACUUCGGGAAACCGGAGCUAAUACCGGAUAAUAUAUUGAACCACAUGGUUCAAUAGUGAAAGACGGUUUUGCUGUCACUUAUAGAUGGAUCCGCGCCGCAUUAGCUAGUUGGUAAGUUAACGGCUUACCAAGGCAACGAUGCGUAGCCGACAUGAGAGGGUGAUCGGCCACACUGGAACUGAGACAAGGUCCAGACUCCUACGGGAGGCAGCAGUAGGGAAUCUUCCGCAAUGGGCGAAAGCCUGACGGAGCAACGCCGCGUGAGUGAUGAAGGUCUUCGGAUCGUAAAACUCUGUUAUUAGGGAAGAACAAAUGUGUAAGUAACUAUGCACGUCUUGACGGUACCUAAUCAGAAAGCCACGGCUAACUACGUGCCAGCCGCCGCAGUAA